ensembl:lncRNA
AUGCUCAUCUGGGGAGAGAGAUUUAAGUUAUAUCAUUUUGGUAAUUGCACAGCAGACAGGUUUCGUCUGUGGGACAAGUGGUUUGUCACUCCCUACUUCUACCCCACGUGGCAUAAACUUAUAUUUUCACUGUCACUUUGCUAUAUAGAAGAUGUGGGUUUUGGAGGAAAGAAGAUUUUAGUGAAUGAUGAGCCAUCAGCAGGCCGCUCUGAUGAUGAGAUACCCUGCCAGAUAUACGUGUGUCCCACGAUGUGUCAAUGGCAGCAUCUCUUGCAUCUAUUUUUGUCUCUUUAUGACUUUGUCAGUGAACUUUCAGGAAAUGGCAGAGUAGCUUCAUUUGGAGCCUGAGGAAGCAAUGCCUAUAACCGGAGCCCAAGGAGAGUCCACUGGGGGGAAACUAAAGCCCGCAAAAAUUAAAUACUUAUCCAUGGUGACCCAGAAAAUCAUUAAGCACAAAUCCUCUGACUCCUGAGACAAGCUCUUUUUUUGCUCACAUUUAUGAUGUUAUAUGCCUCCCUGUGGCACCUUCUGAACAUGCCUUUCAGUGUGUGCUUUGGCAUAGCUAAAUUUAUUGAGGCUGUUAACUGGACCUUGAAAUGCACGUUCCACUUUGUGGUGUUAGGCAGAUUCAGAUGUAAAAUCUGCACUGGGUCCUUAUGACCACAUAGUGACUUCAAUCCUUUUGGACAACUACAACUUAAUAUCACUAGAAAUUCCUUGCAUGGAUCAUGAGCAACAUGUGACCCCCAAACUCUUCUCAGUUUGUUAUAAUCUUUCAUUUCUUCUAAGACAUCUGAACUGGAUUUUUGUUCCCAUUUAUGCUGUUUAAUAUCUUAAUUGUUUAAAGAAAUAUUUAGCUAUAUGAACAUGAAGAUUGCAACUGAAAAAUAUUCAAAACCUGUUUGCACUGCUUACUUUUUCUUUGGCGUAUCUGUUAACUACAACAUUACCAAUCCACUGCUAAUGAGAUUGUCUGGAAUCUGCCCACUUAUUCCAUUCUUGCUUCAGGAUCCUGUGCUACUGGAGUUCUUCUCAUGACAUAGGCAUCAUUCUUCCUUGUAUCCAUGGCUGUGUCUGUUAAGACCUUUUAUACAAUAGCCUCAGAACUCUGGUUGCAAUUAGAGUUUUGAUUAGCUGUCAGUGAUGUCAUAGCCAUGGUUAUUUUAAAUCCACUGUGCUAAGUGUUUUCCUUUUCCUAAUGUACUGUAGAAAUUCCAUUUCUUGACAGCAAUAAGACACUUCAGGCACUGUGUUUCAGGGCCAAUAUUGCACUUCUCAUGGAGUUAAGACACUUGGCCUUCAGCCUCAUGACUUAUAACACAAUCUGAGUUAUGCUAUAAUCACCCAGAUAUAUACAUGGCCUGUUGUGUUUUAUUGCUUAAAUGGAACCUGUCCCAGCGCCUCAUCAACUGACAAGGUGGGAAUAUAGCCCCGAAUGACUGUUCAGAUUCCCACUGGGAGUUGCAUUUGGUCAGAUCCCCUUUAGCCGUCCAGGGGUUGUGCUGAAACUCUGGAGGCCUUUGGUAUAUUUACCACACAACAGAAAUCAAAACUUUAGCAUCUCAGGUCUCGCUGCCAGACUGCCCAACUUAGGUUGCCAAAUAUCUCCCUCUCAACACGUUUAUUGAACUUUAAAACAGCAGAACAGCAUUGAAUGAAGUCCAGUAAUUUUUAUAGGAUAUAUUUUAGUCACUAGACUUUGAAGACUAUUCCAACAUUAAUUAUAAAGUUUCUGUGUCUGGAUAACAUAUUGUUAACAGUUAUUUUGCAAGUGCUAAUGGCAAGAUGGAAGAUUUCCAAUAAUUUUAUUGAGGAAGUAGCAAUUAAAAUGUUGAGCACUACAGGGUACAUACAAAAUAAAAAUAAUUUUGCAAACA